UACGUAGGGUGCAAGCGUUAAUCGGAAUUACUGGGCGUAAAGCGCACGUAGGUGGUUUACUAAGCCAGCUGUGAAAUCCCCGGGCUCAACCUGGGCACUGCAGUUGGAACUGGUAAGCUAGAGUAUGGUAGAGGGGUGUGGAAUUCCAGGUGUAGCGGUGAAAUGCGUAGAUAUCUGGAGGAACAUCAGUGGCGAAGGCGACACCCUGGACUAAUACUGACGCUCAUGUGCGAAAGCGUGGGGAGCAAACAGG
rnacentral:rRNA from 1 species